rnacentral:rRNA from 1 species
CCUACGGGAGGCAGCAGUGAGGAAUAUUGGUCAAUGGGCGCGAGCCUGAACCAGCCAAGUCGCGUGAGGGAAGAAGGUCCUAUGGAUUGUAAACCUCUUUUGUCGGGGAGCAAAAGACGCCACGCGUGGCGUUACGAGAGUACCCGAAGAAAAAGCAUCGGCUAACUCCGUGCCAGCAGCCGCGGUAAUACGGAGGGUGCGAGCGUUAAUCGGAAUUACUGGGCGUAAAGCGCACGUAGGCUGUAUGACAAGUCAAGGGUGAAAUGCCACGGCUCAACCGUGGAACUGCCGUUGAAACUGGCAAACUGGAGUAUGUGAGAGGGCGGCGGAAUUCCUGGUGUAGGAGUGAAAUCCGUAGAUAUCGGGAGGAACAUCAGUGGCGAAGGCGGCCGCCUGGCACAAAACUGACGCUGAGGUGCGAAAGCGUGGGUAGCAAACAGGAUUAGAUACCCGGGUAGUC